CAGACAUAGACGACUGCAACGGUGUUACCUGUCAAAACGGUGGAAACUGCGUUGAUGGCAUCGACUCAUACACCUGCGACUGUGCUGUUGGCUUUGAAGGCACUCACUGUGAAACAAACAUAGACGACUGCAAUGGUGUUACCUGUCAAAACAGUGGAAACUGCGUUGAUGGCAUCGACUCAUACACCUGCGACUGUGCUGUUGGCUUUGAAGGCACUCACUGUGAAACAAACAUAGACGACUGCAAUGGUGUUACCUGUCAAAACGGUGGAAACUGCGUUGAUGGCAUCGACUCAUACACCUGCGACUGUGCUGUUGGCUUUGAAGGCACUCACUGUGAAAC